UACGUAGGUGACAAGCGUUGUCCGGAUUUACUGGGCGUAAAGAGCGCGCAGGCGGUCGAUCAAGUCGAGUGUGAAAGCCCCCGGCUCAACUGGGGAGGGUCAUUCGAUACUGAUCGACUCGAAGGCAGGAGAGGGUAGUGGAAUUCCCGGUGUAGUGGUGAAAUGCGUAGAUAUCUGGAGGAACACCGGUGGCGAAGGCGGCGUCCUGGACUGCAACUGACACUGAUGAACGAAAGCCAGGGGAGCAAACGGG
rnacentral:rRNA from 1 species